rnacentral:rRNA from 1 species
CCUUACCAGCCCUUGACAUGUCCGGCUCACCACAGAGAUGUGGUUUUCCCUUCGGGGACCGGAACACAGGUGCUGCAUGGCUGUCGUCAGCUCGUGUCGUGAGAUGUUGGGUUAAGUCCCGCAACGAGCGCAACCCUCGCCCUUAGUUGCCAGCAUUUAGUUGGGCACUCUAAGGGGACUGCCGGUGAUAAGCCGAGAGGAAGGUGGGGAUGACGUCAAGUCCUCAUGGCCCUUACGGGCUGGGCUACACACGUGCUACAAUGGUGGUGACAGUGGGCAGCGAAGGAGCGAUCCCGAGCUAAUCUCCAAAAGCCAUCUCAGUUCGGAUUGCACUCUGCAACUCGAGUGCAUGAAGUUGGAAUCGCUAGUAAUCGCGGAUCAGCAC